AGUUACCUCUGUAAAUCGACAUUUCACCGUGUCACUUCUGUCACAAAUCAGUUACAGCGCUGCACGCAGGAUUCAGAGCUGCCGAGGCUGCUGUGCUGCUCCACCAGAAGGAAAUUACCUGGAGCAGCAGCACGGCUUUCUGCUGAGUCUGCCCGGUGUGUCCUGCACGUUUCUUGAUGCGGGUGUGAGCUGCAGGUGUUCCAGUGCCGGCAGGGGCCGCAUGGGUGUCUGCAGGCGAGGCAAGGCCGGGGUGCCCCGUGCCGGCCACAGCCGGGUACAGCCAAGCCCCUCAGUCCCAGGCAGGAAGGCGUGAGGGGAAAAGGGGGAGGAAAGGCCCUGCCAGCCCUGAAGGGAAAGGGACAGAAGAGCGUCCGGCCACCAGAUUGCCCUGGAGAAUCCCCGCCGGAGCAGGGGAACAGCGAAAGAGAGCAGGAGCGGUCAAGAGAGGCUGGCACGGAGUGACCGCAGCAACCCGUCCCCCUGCAACCCUGGGAUGAUGCUUGAGUCAAGAACAUUAAAGUGUGCUUUGAGCUGGACACAGAUGAGAGCUGGACAAAACUUCCUCACAAACCACAAAAUUUCCAUAAAAUGUUUCAUAAAAGUUUCAGCUUGAAACUUUACAAAUUCAAGCCAAGCUAAGAAAGAAGAUUUGUUCAGAAAUAAUUUUGUUUUGAUUGUUUUAAAAUGGAGGAAAGUGAUUUGACCCAGUCACUUACAGUGAAAUACAGGCAGUUUUUGUUUGCCAAAUGACACAUGAACCCACCAUCUCCAGCACAGCUAUCUGGAUAUUCUAGCAAUUAUGUGGGUACUUCAAUCUUCUUUAGUCAUCUCUUUGCACAUUGUAGAAAUAUGUAAGUAUGAAUAAAAAACAGACUAGACACAAUAACUCAUAUGAUGCCACUUCCUGGGUAAAGUGUCCCAACCACCAACAUUAAACUUCUUUUUUUUUUUCCUCUCAAUUUUUUGGAAUAAUUUACAUAUGUGGAAAGAAAACAAUUUAUUUUACAAGCAGCAUGUUUUUGUUAACAAUUGCUGAACAUCUUUAUUUUCUGCUCAGUGAGACAAAUACACCCUUAACCUCCCAAAAUAAAGCCUUUAAUAGUUUA